UGCGACCCCAGGAUGGGC
rnacentral:rRNA from 2 species